AUAUCAAUAAGCGGAGGAAAAGAAACUAACAAGGAUUCCCCUAGUAACUGCGAGUGAAGCGGGAAAAGCUCAAAUUUAAAAUCUGGCGGUCUUCGGCCGUCCGAGUUGUAAUCUGGAGAAGCGUUUUCCGCGCUGGACCGUGUACAAGUCUCUUGGAACAGAGCGUCAUAGAGGGUGAGAAUCCCGUCUUUGACACGGACUACCAGUGCUAUGUGAUGCGCUCUCGAUGAGUCGAGUUGUUUGGGAAUGCAGCUCAAAAUGGGUGGUAAAUUCCAUCUAAAGCUAAAUAUUGGCGAGAGACCGAUAGCGAACAAGUACCGUGAGGGAAAGAUGAAAAGCACUUUGGAAAGAGAGUUAAACAGUACGUGAAAUUGCUGAAAGGGAAACGAUUGAAGUCAGUCGCGUGUGCUAGAACUCAGCCUUGCUUUUGCUUGGUGCAUUUUCUAGUGUACGGGCCAGCAUCAGUUUUGGCCGCCGGAAAAAGGCCUUGGGAAUGUGGCACCUUCGGGUGUGUUAUAGCCCUUGGUUGUAUACGGUGGCUGGGACUGAGGAACAUAGCAUGCCUUUAUGGCGGGGCUUCGGCCACCUUCAUGCUUUGGAUGCUGGCGUAAUGGCUU
rnacentral:rRNA from 1 species